rnacentral:lncRNA from 1 species
AGUCACACCAUUGCACUCCGGCCUGGGCGACAGUGAGACUCCAUCUCAAAAAGGAAAAAAAAAAAAAAGAAAGACCACAUGGACCCAACAUCAAAUAGAGCUCAUCUCCCUGGAAGCUUUGCCACAUCUGUACUCACAGUUCAUGUCACUUGUGACUUCUGUUUUUCAGGUUUGGGCAAAACUACCCCUGAUCCUUCAGCUAACAUUAGUCUGGAUGGUGUAGACGUUCCUCUUGGGACCGGGAUUUCAUCUGGUGUGAAUGACACCUCUCUACUAUAUAACGAGUACAUUGUCUAUGAUAUUGCUCAGGUAAAUCUGAAGUAUCUGCUGAAACUGAAAUUCAAUUUUAAGACCUCCCUGUGGUAAUUGGGAGAGGUAGCCGAGUCACACCCGGUGGCUCUGGUAUGAAUUCACCC